rnacentral:lncRNA from 1 species
GCAUGAUGAUGUGAAAUGCCAUGAUUAUAUGCAUGUGCAUUAAUGAUAUGUGAUGAGGGUUCAUGUGUGCCCACAUGAACCAUAUGAUGCUAAUGUUUGCUUGUUAUGUGCUGCCUUUCAGAAAACAGGAUGAGAGGAACUCGUCGAUCUGCACGAUUGACUGGAGUGCCACCUGAGGAUGAGGGCAUGAGUGCCCGUCCUCCUACAUUGCCUAAGGCAAUGUCAAGCAGGUCCAACAGGGACAGAACAGUAAGAGACCCUAGAAGGUCUUUGGAUCUGGGUAGAAGCAGAUCAGUCAGAGGAACAGUUCAAGGAGGAGCGUCAGAGGACAUGGGGGACGAUAUGGAUGUAGAGCAGAGAAGGGAU